rnacentral:hammerhead_ribozyme from 1 species
AUCCAGUGGCUGACGAGUCCCAAAUAGGAUGAAAUGCGCAUCCUGUAU